rnacentral:tRNA from 1 species
GAAAUGCGGCUCAGUGGUAGAGUUCUUGCCUAACAUGCAUGAGGCCCUGGUUUGAUCCCUAGCAACACA